CGUGAUUCCCCGGUGCCAUCCC
rnacentral:miRNA from 12 species